CUAAAUUCUGACAGCAGUAAAUCUUUAUAUUUAUAGACUUGUUUGUUUCUUCCACAGGUGCUACUCAGUGUAUCCAUGUCUCAUCAGAAAAAUACAUUAAAAUUAAAAAAGGCCUUUUAGGGAAGGAAAAUAUUUUUUCCCUCUCAGUAGGAGGUUUUCUCUGAGGCCAGCAAGUAUUCUUCAUGGUCCUCUUAGAUACGCUUAUCAGAGAAGAAUCUUCUUGAUAACAAAUGCCACCUGCAAUCAAGUCUGCAGUCACAGCAGAUACACAUUGAUAUGUAUCUCCUGGGAACAGAUCUUCCAGUGUUGUGAAAAACCAUGCAGGCUUUCUUUGCUGCUCCUGUCUCUGAUUGCCUAGCAGCUAGAAUGAAGAAUGUAUUUAAGUGCACAGCUCUUCAUUUUUCA
rnacentral:lncRNA from 1 species